CUAAAACGUUACCCAUGGACAGAACACACACUCUCCCCAAACGAUAUAAACACAACAAUAAAACAAAACAGGAAUGUGUUGGAAUAAAACUCAAGUGAUCGAGUCACUGAUGAAUCGUUAGCAGAGUUAUUUAUGCUAGGUGACACAGAAGGUCAAAAUUCAGAGAAUUCACUCUGCUGACAAAAAUCUGAGAUUCGAGAUCAACUGUUCCUGAUCGAGCUCCUGUUCCAUGUUCCCACUGCACUGGAGUACCCGUGAACUUUAGGGAUAAGUGACGCGUUACUCGCCGCACCUGUUUUCGGGUCAUUUCCAGCACAGUGUCCAGAUCUUUCUGAGUGUACUUCAGCAUGUCCACGUUCAUGUCCUCGCUCUCCUGGGUCUCCUUCAGCAUCUGCACCAGCAGAUCUUUCUGAGUGUACUUCAGCAUGUCCACGUUCAUGUCCUCGCUCUCCUGGGUCUCCUUCAGCAUCUGCACCAGCAGGUCCAGCAGGAUGGGGUCCUGAAACACUGUAGGCUCCACCUAUACACACACACACACACAUUCCUCCACUUGAUGUGAUGUUCAUAGUCAUUCAUAUGCACGUGUGUACAUCUAAGUUUGUGUUUGUACACACACACACACACACACACACACACACACACACACACCUCUUGCCUGUUCUUGGUGAUGGGGAGUGUGGGAUACUCAUAGCUGGAGAGAGGAAGGGGGGUGACCCCAGUGCCUAGGAUUCAAGCUCAAAGGUCUGUGAGGGAAAUGACUAAUUUUUACUUUGUAAUAAUUUUUUUUCUUGUUCUGUUUCAUUCUCAUGUGAGGAUAACGCCUAAGAAGGUCAUGUCAUUACAGUGAGAUCAGUACAGAACGUUUAUCUGCUUACAGAGACACAAACAUGUUCUUCUGUUCAAGGUUUGUCUAAACAGCUUCCAAGAUCCUAAAACAAAGCCUGUUUGAACUGCCUCAAACUGCUUCUUAUCGGUACACAGAAUGAUGUCAUGCUCUGCGUUUCAUAUAUAUAGUAGUGGUUCAGUACAAGGAUUCAGAGCGCUCUCAUUAUUCUAUCCUGCUUUAUUCCAUCCUGUAUUAAUCAUCUUUCUGUAAUAAACCUUUUUACCUUUUUACCUUCAGAGGACGAGUCUGCGAGUGUUGUCUAAUUUCCAUCGACAAUUAGGCGUCCCCUGGCUGGGCUGCGCGAGUCUUUUCAGCUUUUCUGGACAACAAGCAAACCGGAGGACGCUCAAGGACGAGUUUCACCCUGAAGUCCGUGUUGACGCAAGGCGGUUUGCCCUUUGUUGUGUAGAGCGAAAGCCCGAUGCAGCCUCAACACUGAC
ensembl:lncRNA